AUUGAACGCUGGCGGCAGGCCUAACACAUGCAAGUCGAGCGGAUGAAGGGAGCUUGCUCCUGGAUUCAGCGGCGGACGGGUGAGUAAUGCCUAGGAAUCUGCCUGGUAGUGGGGGAUAACGUCCGGAAACGGGCGCUAAUACCGCAUACGUCCUGAGGGAGAAAGUGGGGGAUGUUCGGACCUCACGCUAUCAGAUGAGCCUAGGUCGGAUUAGCUAGUUGGUGGGGUAAAGGCCUACCAAGGCGACGAUCCGUAACUGGUCUGAGAGGAUGAUCAGUCACACUGGAACUGAGACACGGUCCAGACUCCUACGGGAGGCAGCAGUGGGGAAUAUUGGACAAUGGGCGAAAGCCUGAUCCAGCCAUGCCGCGUGUGUGAAGAAGGUCUUCGGAUUGUAAAGCACUUUAAGUUGGGAGGAAGGGCAGUAAGUUAAUACCUUGCUGCAUUGACGUUACCAACAGAAUAAGCACCGGCUAACUUCGUG
rnacentral:rRNA from 1 species